CAAAAUCAGGUUUUGAAUUUUCAAAAAAACGCAGACCGAGAAUCUUUUUCGCGCUUUAUUGCGCAUUCGUUUUUGGUUUAAAAACUUAUCACCUUAUUUUGAAUUAUAUUCACUAAACCUAUUACAAAGCUAUUGAAAGUGGAUAAAGGUGAGCAAUCGUUAGCUCUGCUUCCAAAAGAAAAUGCAUUAUUAAAUCCCUGGAAAAAAAAGCAUUAUUAGAUCUGGUUAAAUCAUUAACAUGGAAUGACUUCAUAACUUGGCGCGAAACUCACCGAGGGCCAAAAAAGGAUAGAGCUUUUCGUUUUUGGGCAGAUAAUGGUGGAAAAGAUCUUCCAAAGUUUGAUGGGAGAAAACCUCCCGUGGGUGAUCGUGGAAGC